ensembl:lncRNA
GAGGAAUCGAGAAUCAUAGUUCAGCAAGAGACCUGGGCUUAUUCUAGUGGUACUGGUUCCUGGGAACACAGAAACUCUCGGUGUUUUUGUCAAUCUGCAUGUGCCCGUCUUGGAACAGCUCAGUGAAAGAAGGAAACUGGCUAAACAAGUUUCAGAGGUGAACCUGCUGGUAACUGUACCUCUGGUUUAUCGUGAAUAAUGAAGACGUCCCGCCAUCCAGGGCGCGGGUCACAGAACUGCGUGGAGCCAAUUGCCCAGCAAACCAAAGACUACAGCACCUGCCCAGUAAUCUCAUCGGGGAAACAAACAAAGUUGAGAAUGAGGUCAGCGGCAGGUGUCCUCUGCAUGGCAGGAUGCAGAGCAAGUGAAGAAGUUGGAUGUGCUGACAAUGGGUUGAAGCAGAGGGUGAAUACCCACACAGAAGUGAAGAGGGGUUACAGCAGCACAGAGAAAUCUUUGGAGGACAAGAGCAAGUACAAGGCCAAAAGAUGAGGUAAGAGGCAG